UUUGUACUCGGUUAGGCUGACU
rnacentral:miRNA from 10 species